GGGGUUGUGGCUCAGUGGUAGAGUGCUUGCCUAACAUGUACGUGGCUCUGGGUUCAAUCCUCAGCACCACA
rnacentral:tRNA from 1 species